CAAGUGAAAAUUAUAAACCUGUUACCUACUCAGCGCAAAAUGUUUUGUGUCAUAAUCAAACUAAUUAAUAAAAGCCAAUUUUCAUGAGUUUUUGUUUCAA